GACGAGUGUUCCUGAGAGGUCCCCAUUUCUUCUGGACACUCUGGGAGGCGGAUUCUCCCCAGAGCUUUCCCCUGCCCCAGCAGAGCUUGUGGCCUCAGCCUUUCCUUGCAAACAGGAACUUCCUUUUCUUGGCUGCGUUUAUGUCCCAGCUGUGUCCUAGGUGGGGAGGAAUGUUUGCCUUGCUGGGCAGAGACCUGUGAUGGUGCAAGAUUGGAGGGGUGGCGCAUGCCAGCGUGAGGAGUCAGCAGCUGGGGCCUGCUGCUCCUGCUGGACCAGGAAGGCAGGUGGUUCCUGAAGCGGAUUCAAAAGCUGAGUCAUCGUUUGCACCUCAAGUCAGGCAACUUCCUGACCUGACGUAAAACUGCCCUGUCUGGUAGCUGCGGGACUGUUCUUACCCGAAAUUCCUAAAAUUCCCAGAAGAGAGGAGCACACCAACCUCUUCAAUUCACUUGAAUCAGGGAUCAUAAAAAUGGAACGUGGACGUACAGACAGGCAUGCAAACGGAGCAAAAGGAUCAUGGCAGAAUCCAGGUGCCUGAGCUUCAGGAAGACGUGGAGUGCCAAAACUACUGCUUUGUUCCCAGCUGCUUCUCUCUCCAGCAGAGACGCCAAGAGGCGUCAACCAACCACUCCCUCUCUCAUCAGCGGGAACAGCACACUCUCUACCAACACACAAGGGCAAGCACUAGGAGGGACUGGGAACGGACAGGCAGAAAACAACCUGAGCAGCUCCGGCCUGCCACGAACAUCACCAGGAGCCGAGGUCAGCGCGCCGAGCAGGCUGUGCGGUGACGUCGGAGAUACACUGUCACACUCCUCCACCAGGAUCUCCCUCCAUCACCUCCUCCUGUUUCCUGGAUUGGAGAGCCACUGUUCCAGGGUCUUCCAAGAUGCUUUAGUUUAUUGCCAUUUUGACAGAGCACGUAUCUUUUAACAGUGGGAUUUUUUUUUUUUAAAUGAAGUAUUUUGCUUUUAUUUCAUCCCGCAGGCUCCAGUAUCAAGAUUUCUGUCGGUUGUCUUAUUGUUACAGUCUGAAUAAGAAAUGUCCCUAUAAACUUAGGUUUUGAACUCUUGGUCCCAGCUUUGUGGCACUAUUUGGGGGGAAAUUAUGUAGACUUUGGGGGAAGCGAGUCAAAGAAAGCAGGUUACCAAGGGCAAGGCUUUGAAAGCCUUCAGUCCCCUUUGGAAUCCCUGCUUCCCGCUGGCCAAGAAGUGGAGAAUCUCUGCUCCACUGCUUCCACCACCAAGCAGCUGCAGACUAAGGCCCCUGAGACCACGAACCAUCAUAAAUCCUCCCACAGGUUGUUUCUGGCUAUGUAGAUCAAUGAUAAACUCCCUGCAUAAAGUGUGUUAGGCUCUGGGUCCUACAUCCCGCGCUCAAACACAUCUUUGGGUGCUGAGGAUGUGGCCCAGGGAGAGAGAGCGCUUGCCUAGCAAGAGUUUGAUGCAUGGCCCCAUAAAAACAAAACAAAACGAAACUGUUUUUGUGCCAGCAGGCUCCAGUGAACACUUCGAAUCCAAUGGACUCCAGUCAAACUAAACGGGUCACAAAAAAAAGGCCAAAUCAUGAAUCUAGGAGAGGGGCUGGUAAGGAGGAAGGAGGGUUAGAAGAGAGUGUACUCAGAAUACAUUACAUACAUGUGAAACUGUCAGACA
ensembl:lncRNA